UUGCUUCUGGUGUCUGUCUCCCAGUGGGUGACAUUGAUUUAGGGGCUUGUGCAGGCUUCCUGGUAGGAGGGACUGGCGCCUGCCCACUGGUGCAUGGAGGUGGGUCUUGUCCCUCUGGUGGGCAGAAAUAUGUCAAGGAGUGUGUUUAGAGGUGGCUGUGAGCUCAGUACAACUUUAGGCUGCCUGUCUGCUGAUGGGUGGGGCUAUGUCUCCCCCCCACGAGUGCUAGUUGUUUGGCCUGAGGCCUCCCAGCACUAGAGCCUGCAGGCUGUAGGGUGGGGCCACUUCUUGUUGCCAAAAUGGUGACCUCUGGGAGAGCUCACACCAAUCAAUAUUCCCUGGGUCCUUCAUCACAGGUGUCCUUGCACAGAGAGAGCCACAAUCAACCCCCACCUCUUCAGGAGACCCUCCAAUACCCACAGCAUAGAUGUUCUUCUCUUCUUCAAUAGCUUCACACUUGGAAGUGUUCCAACAGAAUGAGAACCUGACUAUCCUAAGUGGCCGAUAAAGGCUUACUGCAGUUACAGGAAUGCUGAUUGUUCCAUAACAUAUGUAACUACUCUGGGUACAUUUUGUAGACUGGUGAUAAAACACGUCACAUCUUAAAUCUCUGAAUGAUGUGCUUACGUGUGUAUGUGUAUUUAUAUGUGUGUACACACCUUCACAUAAAAAGCAGAAACAAAACCAUCUUGGGCCUUUGAUUUGAAGCACUCUGCACUUCCCAGGUGAUUCUGCUUCUGCUUUACUGAGCCAGCUACUAAGGGAACCUCAAUGCGAUGAUGAAUAGACUUGCCUCAAAAAGGAGGAUGAAGGGGAGCAGAAUAUGCCAUCCCAAAAUGGGCCUCUUUGACAUAAGGAUUAUUUUGAGUGGAUUAUUUUUAAGAAACAGACAGAAGAAAAGCUCUAAAAAUCUAGUAGAAGUUACUCAUUUGUUAGAGACAUUUACAUUUAUAAGAGAAAUUUUUAUUUGUAAGUGUGUCUUCUAAUCUCUGCCAGGGAGAGAAGGAUGACUGUAAAUCACAAGAAACUUUUAUCAGUGGAGAAGAUACCCAACUUAAAUCUGCGUACAACCUUACUCUGUUUACUGUGUUUUUCCUAGUAACUUCCCAUAACUGGCCUUCUCCACCUCCCAACAUUUUUCUUGUGUCUUUAGCUGAAAAAGGAAUUUAAGAUGAUGGCUUGGGCUAUUUGGGGGAGUUAGUUUUCCAGGGUCUCCCCCAUGUAUACAGGUGGUAUACAUGUUAUUCGUUUUCUAUUUAUUUUUCUCCUGUUAAUCUGUCUUUUAUUACAGGGGUGGGGUCUCAGCCAACAACCUAGAAUGGUAGAGGGAAAAUUUUUUUUCCUCACUGACAGUUUGGCGACCCAUGAUGGGAUCUGCUGAAACACUGUACUUCUUCUGGAGCCUGAAGAUAGGAACCUGGAAAACUGGCAGAAGCCAGCAAAGGGUAAGAAUUCUUACCAAAGUCACCUCUCUCGGAUCUCUGUCUAUAAGGCCCAGUAGAGAGAGGAAGGGGAAAUUUCACCUUAUUCUUUCCAAAUUUAGAUUCACAGAAGAAAAUAUUUGUGUGAAUUAGUUCCUUGAGCAUAAAGACUCUGGUAAAGAUUUUGUUAUAAGCACUCUUGUUUUCUGUUGAUCCUUUCCCUUCCAUAGAUGGUCACUGUCUUACGUUGUCUCUGUCUUUUGUGUCAUUUGUCAUAAGGAGGAGAACCAUAGGUCAGAUAAGGUUUUCCUUUCAUCUUGUUUUUUGUGUUGAGAGCUUGGCUUUUUGACUAGUAAGAAAACUCUCUCUAGUCAUCACCAGCUGGAAGAUGCUAGUAUCAGCCUGUAUCUGGCAGCCACUAUAGGAUGGCAAUUCGAAACAUAUUCUCUUUGUCCCACUGUGCCAGCUCUCAGGGGAGUUUGUCUUAAGGGGUCCUGGUCCAUAAGGGGCCUUUGGCGUCUCAACCUCUGUUGUCUUGUUAGUGGUGGAAAAGCCCCAUUCCAGUAGUGUCUUGCCUGGUAUUACAGAUUAGCAGGUUUGUGACUGGAAGUGUUUCAUGUUCUCACAGAAAAUGUGAGAGAUUGUUUUCAGUACACCAUUCCUACCACCUGUGACAAAGAAGGUCUUUGCUUUCUUAGGCUAACUCUGGGAGUGAACUUUCUUGAUAUUAUGAGAGUCAGGCUUUUGCACUGUCCUAGGGGACACCUCUUGCAUCCACGGUUAAGCCAUAAAAAGCCAUAUUGGUUUGAGUUGCUAUUGAGAUUAAUAUACCAUUGAAGAUCCUACUCAUCAAUGACAAGAUGAUGGAUCUUUUGAACUGGAAAAACUUUUAUAAAAUUGGAAAAAAAUUUUCCAAUUGGAAACUUUUAUAAAAUUGAAAAAAAAUUCUCAUUCUAAGGAAUUGUCUUAUUAGUACCUAUGGAAAGAUCAAAUUGAAAAGAGGACACAAAGGAGUAUGGUGUCUAGCCUUAGGGACUCUUUUAACAAGGUAAAAUUACAAAGCCCCUUUUGCCUGCACUUUCAGAAGAUCCUACCAGAUUUAGAGAAGAGUUAGAAAGAUCAGUGGCCAUUCACAACCUCACUCACAAGGACCUUGACUGGAUGCUCAGGGGUAUUCUUCCCACCCAUAAUUAUACUGCAGUUAUCAAAGAAGCCAGACAGCCCCCUAGUGGACCACCCCUCACCCCACCCCAUCCCACCCCACCCCCAACCAAGGAAACAUGACCAGAAUUUCUCCCAGGCUCUCCCGCAAAUGAUCAGGAAAUGGAUCAGUGGAGGUUAGUGUUCAGAGGAUGAUACAAUCAAGAGUGAACUGGUCCAAGGUUGAACUGUACACUCAAGGAGAGCAUUCGCAGACCUUUGCUGAAUGCUUUAUACAGACUUCACAAAGGUAAAUUGUACUAAACCCUAAAGCUCCAGAACAUAGUAAUGUUUUUAUUUCCAUCUCAGUUGGAAUGGAAAUCUUCUCCUUUGGUAGAAAUGUGGGUGAUUGUAGAGAGAAAAAGGAUGCUUCCAUAAAUAAUAUACUCUUGUGGAUAUCAGGUUCUAGUCCUGUUAACUGUCUGAAGUCUCAUUAUUUUCCUGUAAACUGGACGAGAUCCUGAAUUAUCCUACUUUCCUCAAAUAAUCUGGCUACAUCUCUUCAAACUAACGUUUCCAAUUUUCUUCCAGUCUUUUGACUUGGAAUCACUAAGAACAAACUGUAUGAAGUUCCUAGAAAUCUGAUAUGUCCUGAUAUAAUAUUAUCACUUGUAAUUCGUUAUUAUCUUAAAAUGUAUGUCACAGACAUAACCAUAUUUCCUUGUCAACUGCAUUAUAACAAAGGCUCAUUAUAUCUUUAACCAUGGCUGUUUUUUAAGUCUUUUGUCAUUUAUGAAAGUUAUUGUUUUGCUUUUGCAAAAGUUAUUUCCCAAAACCCUGCAAACUGAAUGUGAAUGGAUUGACAUAAAGUUCAGAGAAAUGACCCCAGCGGCUCACGUUUAGAUCAUCUUUGUGCCUGUUGCUGUAUGGACCACUCAGGAAGUUUAACUGAACAUCCGAUGACAUCAGACAAAUUCAAAUUGCAGAAGAUGCUUCAACCCCAACAUCUAGAAAUCUGACUGGUGGUCUUCAGGACUCAGGCUGAGUUUAUAAUUUGACCCAACCACUAACUUUUGUUUUUCUCCUGUUUCCAUAGACAUGCCUCUAUUAAAUACCCAAUUGCUUGCACCGUAUAAGGCUAACUUUGGGACCCCACCUGCAACACCAGCUCCUGAAAUGAGACACAAUUGUUUAACUGAGCUGACCUAACCUCGAGAUUAAGAGACAAAAGCACCAUUUUCACUGCUCUGAAGAAAGAAGUACACAGAAACCAGAUGUCCUACAUGUGUGUUUCACUCAGUAAGUCCCAGGGUGACAGUGGAAGGAGCUGCUUUUGAAGUGUCGCCUUGCUGGCUUCACACUGGGAUCCCCGGCCGCCUGGGUGACAGUCGCUGUCGAGCCCAGCAAGCCCGUCUGGUUGGAAUCCAGGGCCCCGUGGGGAGCCCCGUUCUCCACCAGGUCCUCACAGCGGGAGCCCUACACCAUUAACUGCCCAGCACUGCAGGACCCAGAGCCUUCUCACUGACUAGGGGAGACUUUCCCUAGUCAGAAGCCAGAGCUCCUGUUCUUUCAUCAGAUACUUAAUCAUUUUCGUUAAAACCUUUAUUCGUUAACAUAUUCUAGAUAAUAAAAGCCUAAUUUAAUGCUAUUUCAAGUGUCUACUAUCAUAUGCGGUACCCUCA